GCUUUCGAAUGACACCACAUAUGCUUGGGUACUGAUGACCGCAAGCUUGACGUGCAAAUACAGCACUCAUCUAUUCACUCGUGAUUUUCAUACAUCAUGUAAGUAAUAGAAACCGACAUUGCGCACCGAUCGUUGCAUCGACUAUAAAUUAAAAACGAACUCUAAGGAGCGGUCGAAAAAUAUCGUAAUAAAUACGAAGUAUAACAUUCACAAGAAUGUUACCUCUUCAUUGUUGAAUUUGUUCAUAUUAGAUUCUAAUAAUUAGAACGAAGAGUUGAUACAGAUGAAGCUUGCAUCGGAUAAAUUGAAAUUAUUAUAUGUUUCUAAGGAACAAAUAAAAGCCAUCGCAGCGGAGAUGAAUUUACGUCAAAAAAACGAAAAUGCCAAACCAAAAUGCAAACGAAUUUCCUCCU